AUGUUCAACAGAAGGUCCAGGAGGCUCAUGGAAAGGACGAUGGCCAGUGGCAAGGACCGCAUCAGCGCCCUCCCCGACGACCUCCUCCUGCAUGUGAUGUCGUUCUUGCUUUCCCGCGACGCGGUGCGGACGUGCGUGCUUGCUAGGCGCUGGAGCACGCUCUGGAAGUCCGUGCCUGCCCUACACAUCGAGGAUGACCUUGCGACUGACUCCAACAAGUUCAUGGAUGAGCUGCUGCGCCUCCGUGACCCAGCGCCGUUGAAUGUAUGUGACAUCUGUGAUGUGUGCAAGGCUUCGGAUACAGAGGAUCCGGAAAAUGUUUGCGAGGUGACAUCCAAUCUCAUUGCGCCGUGGCUCCGGUAUGCUUUGUUGCAUGAAGUUCGGGUGCUACGAGUUUCUGCUCCUGCGUUUCCAACCGACCUCGUUCCCAUCUCUUCACACCUAAAGAGGAUAGAGCUUUGUCUUAUGAAGUUUGAUGACCCUCUGGAUCUUUCGAGCUGCCAGGUGUUGGAUGUGUUAGAGAUGACAUAUUGUAACAUCUAUGAGAGUAUCUUUUGCCAGUCAUUACGACACCUUAACAUGAAACACGGAUGUUUUGACAAUGAAAUCCGCUUUCGUAUUUCUGCCCCAAAUCUCGUUAGCUUGAAACUAGCUCCAGAGUCAGGCUUGACUCCAUUGCUUGAUAGCAUGCCAUCACUGGUAACAGCAUCUGUUGAAUCUUCUGAAGAGGAGUUUCAUCACUGUUUUGUUUUCUCAUCAUGUGAUGAAGGAUGCAAUAGGGAAGAAAGAUUUUCUGUUGUUUUGGAAGGCUUGUCUACUGCUACAAACUUAGAGUUAACAAGUGAUGAUCGGUUAUCUGUUUUCAGAAUGGAUUUGAAAUGGUCACCUGUGUUUAGCAAGCUAAAAACGUUGUUGCUGAAUGAAUGGUGUGUGGCUGAUGAUUUCACUGGAUUGGUUUACUUUCUCCAGCACUCACCAAUUCUAGAGACACUCAUGCUACAACUUGAUACUCCAAAGUAUAAGAGACUACAUGUGGAUGAAACAGAUGAAAGGUAUACCCGAAAGGAGCAAUCAUUACUAUCAAAGCAUCUCAAGAUAGUCAAAAUCAUACGUGGCACGAUGAAGCAAGAUACUAGAGUUUACCGUGCUUUGAAGAUGCUCUGUGCCCAUGAGGUGCCUCUUGAGAAAAUUGACAUCCAAUAG
rnacentral:rRNA from 1 species